rnacentral:rRNA from 1 species
UUACGGUCAAAUCACGCUGAAAACACCGGUUCUCGUUCGAUCACCGAAGUUAAGCAUCGUAGAGCCAGGUCAGUACUUAGAUGAGGGACCGCUUGGGAACACCUGGUACUGUAAG